rnacentral:tRNA from 1 species
GCCUGGGUGGCUCAGUCGGUUAAGCGUCUGACUUCGGCUCAGGUCAUGAUCUCGCGGUCCGUGAGUUCAAGCCCCGCGUCGGGCU